rnacentral:rRNA from 1 species
GUAACUGACGCUAAUGCUCGAAGGUGCGGGUAUCGAACAGGAUUAGAUACCCUGGUAGUCCGCACGGUAAACGAUGGAUGCCCGCUGUUGGCGAUACAAUGUCAGCGGCCAAGCGAAAGCGUUAAGCAUCCCACCUGGGGAGUACGCCGGCAACGGUGAAACUCAAAGGAAUUGACGGGGGCCCGCACAAGCGGAGGAACAUGUGGUUUAAUUCGAUGAUACGCGAGGAACCUUACCCGGGCUUGAACUGCAGGUGAACGAUACAGAGAUGUUGAGGUCCUUCGGGACACCUGUGGAGGUGCUGCAUGGUUGUCGUCAGCUCGUGCCGUGAGGUGUCGGCUUAAGUGCCAUAACGAGCGCAACCCUUUUCGCGAGUUGCCAUCAGGUAAUGCUGGGGACUCUUGCGAUACUGCCACCGUAAGGUGUGAGGAAGGUGGGGAUGACGUCAAAUCAGCACGGCCCUUACGUCCGGGGCUACACACGUGUUACAAUGGGUGGUACAGAGAGUGGGCCGCACGCAAGUUCGGUCAAAUCAAGAAAGCCAUCCUCAGUUCGGAUUGGGGUCUGCAACCCGACCCCAUGAAGCUGGAUUCGCUAGUA